UACGUAGGGUGCGAGCGUUGCCCGGAUUUAUUGGGCGUAAAGGGCGCGUAGGCGGUGAGAUGCGUCCGUUGUGAAAUCGCCCGGCUCAACUGGGCGGGGUCAGCGGAUACGGUCUCACUUGAGCAAGCUAGGGGGCAAUGGAAUUCCCGGUGUAGCGGUGAAAUGCGCAGAUAUCAGGAGGAACACCGGUGGCGAAGGCGGCGACCUGGGUAGAUACUGACGCUGAGGCGCGAAAGCGUGGGGGAGCAAACAGG
rnacentral:rRNA from 1 species